CUCUGCUCUGUACUUCUACCCACGGCGCGCUCCCGCCUCCUUGCUGCCAUGGCGACAGCCCGAGUCCCCGGCAGCCGCUGAUUGGUCCCACUGGGAGAGUGGAAGGCGCCGAUUGGCUAGGGAGGAGACCAGGCUGCGCCGGAGGGCUAGGAGGCGGGCGGUGUGGAGCUCUAAGGCGUAGGAGCCUCGGGGAGGGUGAGCCAAGAGGGACGUGGCGCUCUGCGGCGCGGACUAGGAAGCCGCGCCCCUUCCUUCUCGGGCUUUCAUGGAGAAUCCUGUGGAGCAGGAUUUGGGGUCCCACAGGGAUAUAACCUGGCCAAGUUCCUCACUGCGUUUAGAAUGGAAGAGAGGGAGGCAGUAAUACUUAUAAGAGAAGGCAAGGAAUAUGACUUUGUUUGGAAAGCCAGCUAUCAAGAAGAUGGCAGACUGAUGUCUCAAAAUAACCAUUUUAUCAGCGUCUGGAUGCCAGGUGCUUUUAUAGGACAUAAAGGAAGAAGACAACAGAGGAUGAGACGGCUGGAUGGCAUCACUGAUGUGAUGGACAUAAGUUUGAGCAAGCUCUGGGAGUUGGUGAUGAACAGGGAAGCCUGGCGUGCUGCAGAUCAUGGAGUUGGAAAGAGUCAGACAGGACUGAGCAACUGAACCAAACUGAAAGAAGAGGCAGUAAGGAAGUAAAGUAAAAAGGUCAUCAAUUUUGCAAAUAUCUUCCAGAAUGGCAAGCUUUGGGGAGGGGAUGUGUUAAUCUCCUCUUUCUUGCAUAGGCUCUCAUAGAAUUUUAAAUUUUUAAAUUUAUCUAUUUUUGGCUGUGCUGGGUCUUUGUUGCUGCAUGGCUUUUGUCUAGUUGCAGCAAGCAGUGCUCCUAUCUGGUUGUGGUACACAGGCUUCUCAUUGCAGUGGCUUCUCG
ensembl:lncRNA